rnacentral:rRNA from 1 species
AUUGAACGCUGGCGGCAGGCCUAACACAUGCAAGUCGAGCGGAUGAGAGGAGCUUGCUCCUUGAUUUAGCGGCGGACGGGUGAGUAAUGCCUAGGAAUCUGCCUGGUAGUGGGGGAUAACGUUCCGAAAGGAACGCUAAUACCGCAUACGUCCUACGGGAGAAAGCAGGGGACCUUCGGGCCUUGCGCUAUCAGAUGAGCCUAGGUCGGAUUAGCUAGUUGGUGAGGUAAUGGCUCACCAAGGCGACGAUCCGUAACUGGUCUGAGAGGAUGAUCAGUCACACUGGAACUGAGACACGGUCCAGACUCCUACGGGAGGCAGCAGUGGGGGAUAUUGGACAAUGGGCGAAAGCCUGAUCCAGCCAUGCCGCGUGUGUGAAGAAGGUCUUCGGAUUGUAAAGCACUUUAAGUUGGGAGGAAGGGCAGUAAGCUAAUACCUUGCUGUUUUGACGUUACCGACAGAAUAAGCACCGGCUAACUUCGUG